UAAUAAGUGUUUUAUGGCACUUUUUAAAUCCAUAUCCACCUUGUGUGCAAUGUCGGUCGCUUCUCUUUUUUGAGAGCCGGCCAAACAUCAACCUAUUCUUCAACUCUUUGUCUGAAAAAUAUUAUGAAUAAAAUAAUUCAAAAUA
rnacentral:misc_RNA from 1 species